rnacentral:rRNA from 1 species
UGCUAACACAUGCAAGUCGAACGAUGAAGCCCCUCGGGGUGGAUAAGGGCGAACGGGUGAGUAACACGUGGGCAAUCUGCCCCCUCACUCUGGGACAAGCCCUGGAAACGGGGUCUAAGACCGGAGAACACUCUGUCCCUCAAGGGGCGGGGCUAAAAGCUCCGGCGGAGAAGGAAGAGCCCGCGGCCUAGCAGCCCUGCUGGUGGGGAAGGGCCCACCAAGGCGACGACGGGAGCCGGCCUGAGAGGGCGACCGGCCACACUGGGACGGAGACACGGCCCAGACGCCGACGGGAGGCAGCAGUGGGGAAGACUGCACAAGGGGCGAAAGCCUGAGGCAGCGACAGCCGCGUGAGGGAGGACGGCC